ensembl:lncRNA
CAGCCCUUUUUCAAAACGUUUGAAAUACAGUCCCACUAAAUCACUAAGUUGCCUGGGCUGUGCUUGAACUUGCAGUCUUCCUUCCUCAUACAAUUAUAAUGAGAACCAAGAUUGCAGCACACUCAUGCUUGUAAGAUUAAACCAAAUCUAAGCCAUAGCAUCAUAUGACAUUGCCUCUGCUUUUGUAAGCUGUGUAUGACUCAUUCAGGGACAGACAACUGCUUUUGAGGUUCUUCAAUGCGUGCCUUGGCCAACUGAGGCCCUUCACAGAGGAUCAAUCCCUUGUGAGCUGAGACCUAACAAGCGCUGCAGUUGGUGACAGAGCUGGUGCUGCUGUGGUGUGUAGACCUGAGAGCUGGGAAUGCAAUUUGGAAUCACACAUGAGACUGAGAGAUGUUCCAUCUGAAGGACCUGAGGUCUCCUCCAUCCUACCAUGGUGACAACCUGCCUUGUCCUGAAGCCAAGAGUAUCUCUCAGAGCCCAAUGGAUGAAGCUUACCUGGGAGCUGGGACUAGGGGAGGUCAACAGAGGAUGGAAAGACUGAGGGUGUGUGGGGAAGUGGAAAUGGGCAGGGCUUCUUUGUGGGCUAAAUAGUAACUUGAAAAGAAUAGCAAGAAUAAAGUUUUGCACAAGUAUACAAACUCUGUGUAUCUGUGAUUAUCAUUGUAAUAAGAGAGCUUUCAGGUAAUGAACUGAACUAGUCCACUGUUGUAAACACUGCAUUACGGGCGAAGUUGGCCGUUCAUAUUUCUCAAGGAAGCUUGGCCUUUAUUCUGAUGGAAGUUGUGUUUCCUUCCUGGGAAAAUCUAACUGGGAAAAAAAUGUCUGCUGAACUCCUUUGCAGACUUGUAGAUGGUUUCUGAGUCACAUUUUGAGUAGUACCAAACUAGGAAACCACUAAAGUGGUUGAAAUUAAGCACAAAGAGUUGGAGUUCUGACAUCAGGC